rnacentral:sRNA from 1 species
UGAGCGGAAUUCGUGAGACCUUUUUUUUUUUUGCCCCGGUUGAUGUUUUCACUCGGUAAUUGAUCAAGUCAGUGUCCUCUUCUACUUCUAUGGUAUAUCGUGGAAGGUGAAUGGGAAUGGCUCAUGAGUGGGACUGAUAUCCAAAGAGGUUGGCAGGGUUGGAAGUCCUCACUGUGGACAGCGGAGUGACCUGUGCCUGUGUUCUCUACUCCUGUUGCCUUGGACUGGUUCACCGUGCCAGUCGGGUUGGUGUGAUUCCAUUCCCUGGGCUUUCCUUCCAGAAACGACACAGAAAUAGCAAGGGACUUUGAACUUGAAAUUGAUCUCGCACCGCCUUUUCCCUAGGCUAUAGAAGGUCAGUGAGCACAAGAACUCUUUCACAACUUUCUCUGUACAGAAAGGCAAGCCCCAAUUCCUAUCACCUGGGGGAUGAUUUACUGACAAUCAUGAAGAAAUUCUGCAUGGGCAAUGCCAGUUGAAUGAUCAACACAAGGACACAUGGGUAGGGGUAAACGUUAGUGUAUUUCAACCGUGCGGCGCUGUUUAUAGAACACUUAACAAGUCAACCCCAAACCGUUCCUGACAGAGAAAAACAAAAACAUUUCCUGACAUAUGCAUUCCUGCAACAUCUUUGCCCUCUGUGAUCCUAAUCAAUAUUCUCCCUGCAAUGAGUGAUAUUCCUGCACGUCAGGCAUUACUGUAAGUGUGUGGGUAUUCUUGUUUCCACAUGUGGGUCACUGUUAACUAUUCCUGUGAUAAAGCAUUUCUUGAUGUGCACAAAUAUCAUGGAAGUCUUUCAAAAAGUCACAAUUCAAGAUGUUGGAAGCAUUUGAUCCAGGAAGGAAAGAAUAGGUCCAAUUCACAUGCAGUCUAACAAAGAUACGCAAACUUAACCAAAGAAGGAGUAAAUACGAGCAACACCACGCAUGUAGGUUGAAUAGGGACGUGCAAGAACUCAGACAGAUAUGGCAGCAGAGCUGUGCAUAAUGGCACAAGCAUGGGUGCAACAUGAAAGAGGACAGGAGGCAUAGGCAGACCCACAGGAAGAAACAUCAACUCACAUUCAUGGGCAAACACAAUGGAGACACCCAGUCUUCAUUCUAAACAGAGGAAAACAUGAACACAUCCAGGGCACAGGAAGCAAAUGCAGCUCAGGCUGGUUGAGCCAGAAUGCGCGUGAAUUCAUCACUAAACCGGCGAGUCUCACACGCAUCGAUAUUCGGCGGAAGAAAACCUUACACGACACAUCCAAGUGUGCAGUCAACUCUAAGAGCACCUAGCCUUUAGGGCCCAAGUGAAAGCCCUAGAGAGCCUGGGACACAAGUCACGGCAAGUCUCCAGAGGAUGACCAUCCAGUCAACGAAGACUAUCUCUGCACUCCACUCGAGGACAGGUUAGAGCUAAUGCCAACCCUGGUCCUGAAGCACUGGCAGGAAAUAUUAGGCACUGGGGGGUCUCACGAAUUCCGCUCA